GUGUCUUUGCCGAGGCAUUCUUAAUAGAGUUCUCAAGGACUAACAUGGGUUGAUUUCCAGCUAGAGUCUUCUGGCUUUGAGCUGGAGCCAGCCCCCAAAGUGGAACAAACACUGGCAGUAGCUACCACGCUGCCCUAUCAGCUGGAAUCAUCACCCGAGCCGCAUGUUUGGGUUCCCAAGGAGGCAACUGCGUUGUAAAACAUAACAUCAAGUUUUCCAUCCCGGAAUGAUUCACUACGGGCUGCAUACAUCUUCUAAAAGAGAUCCUUAUGGAGUCCUUCAAAUCCGCAUUACUCGAGUGUUGAGGAGAGUAGAAAUUCCUCGUUGAAGCAAAGCUAGCAGACCCUGCAUCCUUUACAAUCUGCUGGCCAGAAUCUGGUCAUACUUUUCUGAAGCUGUUUCAUCAUCUUUUGGAUCAAUGAGCAUGUUAAGGGUGACUAUAUCAAAGGGCGCUUCAAUUUUCCAACUUUGAUAUUCUGACUGUGAGCAAGAUGACUGUCUUGGUCCGCAUCCUUGGCUAAAAGGUCUCAACAAGAUUUCAAUCGAUCAGUGGGAUGAUUCAGUGUGAG
rnacentral:lncRNA from 1 species